GCAAAACAACUCCAAUCCGUUUAAAACAGGAAGGAAUGACAAGGAUAUUUGAAACUUUGAAUUAACGUAUUUCACUGAGCUCCAAUUAUGUUUUUAACCAAUUUGGGAAUUCUCGACGAGUUUAGAGAAAGUGAAACCUCAAUUUGUUGAACUGUCGAUUCUCUAUCCUCCCGAUUAUUCGACGCAAUUUUUUACCCCGUUCAAUAAAUUGAAGAAAUUUCUUUCGAACCAAAUUCCUUUGGUGUGGGAUUAAAAUUUUGGGAUUCCACUGUAUCUGCAGCCUAAUUUCUGAGUGUUGAAAUAAAAUGCUUCCUUCAUUAGGGUUAAAGGCUUCAGUAAAAUAACGCGUCGACCAAAUCAUUAGUUUCCCUGGUUCACGAAUGGAAAGAACUAAAAAUGUUCUAAAUAUGGGUUAACACAGGUAACUUCCUGGUAACAGCAUUCAAACAAGGAAUAAAAACAACCCAGCUCAAAGGCAAUUACCAAACCACGAAGGUAAAGUGCCAUUAUUUGAAGAUGAAUAGAUCACGAGAUCAAGCGUUAAACAAGGAAUAAAAACAACCCAGACCAAAGGCAAGUACUAAACCACACCCGUAAAGUGCCAUUAUUGAAGAUGAAUAGAUCUCGAGAUCAAACGUGAAACAAGGAAUAAAAACAACCCAGAUCAAAGGCAAUUAAUAAACCACACCCGCAAAGUGCCAUUAUUUGAAGAUGAAUAGAUCUCGAGAUCAAACGUGAAACAAGGAAUAAAAACAACCCAGAUCAAAGGCAAUUAAUAAACAACACCCGUAAAGUGCCAUCAGCUGAAGAUGAAUAGAUCACGAGAGCAAACGCGGAACAAGGAAUAAAAACAACCCACAACAAUACCACAAAGAGUGGCUAUUCAUUCCUGUACUCUCAUUAGUCCUGCCCCUUUAUGAUGAACAUAUUGACAUUUAGUUCCCUCUUGGGGCUAUUUUUAAAAACAUCAACACCCGAGUGUACCAACUCCUCGCACACAGGAAAUUUUCGAUUCUGCAAGGGUCGUGAAAAGGAUAUUACACUUGUUGGGAAAUAAGCUUAGACCACGGACAUGGGAGAUACCGCAAGUAAGUUCACCCCAGGUUUAAAGCCAACUGACAGUGAUCGUCCACAGAGCCACCAGAAGUAUGGAGGAAUUCAGGAAGCUUACAAAGAAGCUGUAAUUUAUGUCAACAAGAACAAGGAUGGCGCCUAUUGUACUAUUGGGCCGGGAAACUGGGUGAAAUACUGGAAAAAAGAGGAAAAACAAACACCAUUGGAAGUCGAGAAAGUAGAAGAAAACAUAAUUCUCUGCUACCAUGAAGAACUUAAAAUAAAAUUUCCCGAAGGGGUAGAUCCCAAAAAAAUGACAGCUUCUAAAUAUGGCGAUUAAGAGACUUAUGGAGUUUUCUGAAGAAAUUGUUCUUGCACUCAAAGGUGCACCUAAAGCAAUAUUUUCUGUGAUACUUUUAAACGUGCUUGUAGGCCUAUAAACGUGCAAUGGACAUAACCGGUAAAGCUACUCUGUUGGCUUCCUCAAUAAGCCUUAUGUUGUGUUUCUGCUUGUAAAUCAAUUCAGAUCUCUCCAUUGAUAUGUCAACCAACAACUUAGCAAUAUAAUAAUCGAUACCAUGAAUAACUGUUAUAAAACACAUUCAGGCUUUUCUGAACGAUUCAAAAACGGAUGAUCACUUCGCCUAUGUCACGUAACACCAAAAUUUUUUUUUGUCUUUUUCAUGGAAACAAAAAACCACCUUCAUAAAUCAAUUUACCAUGCAGAAUUUUGUAAAUAUGUGAAGUUUCCUAAGAAUCCGUUUUAAAUGCAUGGUAAUGUGAGACCCCACACAUUUACCAAUUUUCUCUGUCAUAGAGAUGUAUGCCAGGAGGUAAGAGCUACACAUCACUUUGUAAGAAUUGUCAAGUUUGGGGUCAAAUUUUUCCCAUCCUUUUGUAACCAACUUUUAUAAAACAUCGCACAUUUACUAAAUUCGGCAUUACAAAUUGAGCGGUGAGGGUUUUUUUCGUCUUAAUAGAAAAAUCUGAAAAGCGUGACAUCGUCGAAGUGGUGCUUUGGGUUUUCAUGGAAGAGUGGAUUAGUUUUACCUUCAUGACUGUAAAGCGAUAUAGAGCUUUGUAUAUACUCGCUAUAUAAAUAAAGUUAUUGUUAUUAUUUUUUUA